rnacentral:rRNA from 1 species
AUUGAACGCUGGCGGCAUGCCUAACACAUGCAAGUCGAACGAGUGGCGGACGGGUGAGUAAUGUCUGGGAAACUGCCUGAUGGAGGGGGAUAACUACUGGAAACGGUAGCUAAUACCGCAUACCAUCGGAUGUGCCCAGAGGGGAUUAGCUGGUUGGUGGGGUAAAGGCUCACCUAGGCGACGCUCCCUAGCUGGUCUGAGAGGAUGACCAGCAACACGGGAACGGGGACACGGUCCAGACUCCUACGGGAGGCAGAAGUGGGGAAUAUUGCACAAUGGGGGAAAGCCGGAUGCAGCCAUGCCGCGUGUAUGAAGAAGGCCUUCGGGUUGUAAAGUACUUUCAGCGGGGAGGCGUUACCCGCAGAAGAAGCACCGGCUAACUCCGUGCCAGCAGCCGCGGUAAUAC